CGCUCUUUGCUAGUAAUAUAUAAAGAGUCGGACCUGCUCAAUGAUAAUUGAUUAAAUAGCCGCGGUACCUUGACCGUGCAAAGGUAGCAUAAUCAUUUGCUUUAUAAUUGAAAGCUGGAAUGAAUGGUUUAACGAGGGCUUAACUGUCUUUUAUAUUUUAAUUUUAAAUUAAUUUUUAAGUAAAGAAGCUUAAAUUUAUAAAAGGGACGAGAAGACCCUAUUGAGCUUUAGCUAAUAAUAUUUAUCUAAUUGGUAUAUUGUUUAUUACAAAUUAGUAGUAAUAAUAAAAUUUGCAUAAAUAUUAAGUUUUGGUUGGGGCAACCGAGGAACAAUAUUUAACUUCCUUAAAAUAUUAAGAUAAUUAUUGUUAUUGAUCCAUAAAUAAUGAUUAGUAAAUAUAGCUACCAUAGGGAUAACAGCGUAAUUUUUUCUGAGAGUUCUAAUCGAAGAAGAAGAUUGCGACCUCGAUGUUGGAUUAAGGGAUUCUUGGAGGAGUAGAAAUUUCCAAAGUAGGUCUGUUCGACCUUUAAAACCUUACA
rnacentral:rRNA from 1 species